AUUGAACGCUGGCGGCAGGCUUAACACAUGCAAGUCGAGCGAAUGAAAGGAGCUUGCUCCUGGAUUUAGCGGCGGACGGGUGAGUAAUGCUUAGGAAUCUGCCUAUUAGUGGGGGACAACAGUUGGAAACGACUGCUAAUACCGCAUACGCCCUACGGGGGAAAGCAGGGGAUCUUCGGACCUUGUAAUAAUAGAUGAGCCUAAGUCGGAUUAGCUAGUUGGUGGGGUAAAGGCCAACCAAGCCUGCGAUCUGUAGCUGGUCUGAGAGGACGACCAGCAACACUGGGACUGCGACACGGCCCAGAAUCCUACGGGAGGCAGCAGUGGGGAAUUUUGGACAAUGGGCGAAAGCCUGAUCCAGCCAUUCCGCGUGCAGGAUGAAGGCCCUCGGGUUGUAAACUGCUUUUGUACAGAACGAAAAAGCUCUGGUUAAUACCUGGAGUCCAUGACGGUACUGUAAGAAUAAGCACCGGCUAACUACGUGCCAGCCGCCGCCGUAA
rnacentral:rRNA from 1 species